GUGCCAGCUGCCGCGGUAAUACGGAGGGUGCAAGCGUUGUCCGGAUUUAUUGGGUUUAAAGGGUGCGUAGGCGGAUGAUUAAGUCAGUGGUGAAAGCCGACAGCUCAACUGUCGAACCGCCAUUGAUACUGGUUAUCUUGAGUAUAGUUGAGGCAGGCGGAAUUUACGAUGUAGCGGUGAAAUGCAUAGAUAUCGUAAAGAACACCUAUAGCGAAGGCAGCUUGCUAAACUAUAACUGACGCUGAGGCACGAAAGCAUGGGGAGCGAACAGGAUUAGAUACCCUGGUAGUCC
rnacentral:rRNA from 1 species